AGAAAUUCAAGUUGUAUCCACAAACCAAGAUGCUACUAUGAAUUUCAACUCUCAAAACCGUACACAAAUGAAAUGUUAAGGAAGUUUCAGACAGAGGUGGAGGCUAUGUACUCUUGCUAUAGCACAAAACAUGUUAGUGCUGAUGGACCUAUAACAUACAUAGUGAAGGAAGAAUUCGAGGUUGGUAGCAACGAGAAAGAUUCAAGGGCUUUCGAUGUUUUGUACAAUGCCUCUGACUUGGAGAUGCUUUGUGUUUGUGGGUUGUUCAAUUUCAGAGGAUAUUUAUGCAGACACAUUCUUUGUGUUCUAAACCAGAGUGGCGUGCAGGAGAUCCCAUCUCAGUACAUUCUUUCUCGAUGGAGAAAAGAUGUUAAACGUUCUUAUGUUCUUGAUCACAGCUGCAGUGGCAUUGAUAUUAAAAAUCCGGUGCACAGGUAUGAUGAUUUGUACAAACGCAUCGUGCAGGUCGUCGAGGAAGGCAGGCAAUCUCAAGAUCGUUACAAGGUUACUUUACAAGCUUUGGAUGAGAUAUUGAACAAGCUUCAUCUUGUAGAGGAUCAUCAAGUGUAAUUUAUGUAGUUCAGAGCUCUAGAUUUUGUAGAUUGAGCUUUAAGUUUCCGUAUUAUGUGUUUGAUUUCCCCUUUGUUAUAGUUUAAACAAUAAUAUUGCUGCGGAAAAGCCUUUUGUCUGUGAGUGAAUGUAUAGCACUCUUGAAAAAAAAUAUGGCAUUCAGUUAAGAUGGGUAUCAAGAUAAGUAAUACUAAUGGAAAAACUAGAGGGUGGAAUUCUUGGAAAUUAAAAAAAAAAGUUUCAAUUCCCCCCACCCUCGCUGCCCUCCCCAAAAAAAAUUAAAUUAUGAGGUUGAUAAUAAAAAAAUUUACAAUAGCUUUCAAUAUUUUUAAGUUGUAAAUUUCCGGUAAAAAUGAAUAAAAAUAAAAACGAUUACUAUAAAAAAAAUGUAUUUCCUUCUUGUCCUGUUUUUCUAAUAACAUUUAAAGAGGUGGAGGCUAUGUACUCUUGCUAUAGCACAAAACAUGUUAGUGCUGAUGGACCUAUAACAUACAUAGUGAAGGAAGAAUUCGAGGUUGGUAGCAAUGAGAAAGAUUCAAGGGCUUUCGAUGUUUUGUACAAUGCCUCCAACUUGGAGGUGCUUUGUGUUUGUGGGUUGUUCAAUUUCAGAGGAUAUUUAUGCAGACAC
rnacentral:lncRNA from 1 species